UUUGGCCAUGUAGUAACACUGCUUGGGGCAAGUCACUGAACUGUUUGAACACCUCAUCCUCAUUACCACUCCUGAGCUCAGCACCACUCCUCAGGGGGAGCUGCCUCCUAACAGACGCUGCAAAUGCCGGGUCUGUUUCUUCACAGGUUUGGGCCUGACACCCAGCACUUGGUCCUGAAUGAGAACUGUGCCUCAGUUCACAACCUUCGCAGCCACAAGAUUCAAACCCAGCUCAACCUCAUCCACCCGGACAUCUUCCCCCUGCUCACCAGUUUCCCCUGUAAGAAGGAGGGCCCCACCCUCAGUGUGCCCAUGGUUCAGGGUGAAUGCCUCCUCAAGUACCAGCUCCGUCCCAGGAGGGAGUGGCAGAGGGAUGCCAUUAUUACUUGCAAUCCUGAGGAAUUCAUAAUUGAGGCGCUGCAGCUUCCCAACUUCCAGCAGAGUGUGCAGGAGUACAGGAGGAGUGCGCAGGACGGCCCAGCCCCAGCAGAGAAAAGAAGUCAGUACCCAGAAAUCAUCUUCCUUGGAACAGGGUCUGCCAUCCCGAUGA
rnacentral:sRNA from 1 species